CAGCCGCCGCGGGAAUACGGAGGGGGCUAGCGUUGUUCGGAAUUACUGGGCGUAAAGCGCACGUAGGCGGCUUGGUAAGUUAGAGGUGAAAGCCUGGAGCUCAACUCCAGAAUUGCCUUUAAGACUGCCGAGCUAGCAGGUGAGAGAGGUAAGUGGAAUUCCGAGUGUAGAGGUGAAAUUCGUAGAUAUUCGGAAGAACACCAGUGGCGAAGGCGGCUUACUGGCUCAUACUGGACGCUGAGGUGCGAAAGCGUGGGGAGCAAACAGGAUUAGAUACCCGAGUAGUCCCUGUCUCUUAUAU
rnacentral:rRNA from 1 species